AAGUGGCGGAAUUGGCAGACGCGCCAGACUUAGGAUCUGGUUCCGCAAGGAGUGGGGGUUCGAGUCCCCCCUUUCGCACCAU
rnacentral:tRNA from 1 species